CACGUAAGGUGCAAGCGUUGUUCGGAAUCAUUGGGCGUAAAGGGCAUGUAGGCGGUGAACUAAGCCUGGCGUGAAAUACAGGGGCUCAACUCCUGAACUGCGCCGGGGACUGGUACACUGGAGUCACCGAGGGGGAACCGGAAUUCCAGGUGUAGGGGUGAAAUCUGUAGAUAUCUGGAAGAACACCAAUGGCGAAGGCAGGUUUCUAGCGGAUGACUGACGCUGAGGUGCGAAGGUGCGGGGAG
rnacentral:rRNA from 1 species